GAUGAACGCUGGCGGCGUGCCUAACACAUGCAAGUCGAACGAAGCACCUUACCUGAUUCUUCGGAUGAAAGUUUGGUGACUGAAUGGCGGACGGGUGAGUAACGCGUGGGUAACCUGCCCUGUACAGGGGGAUAACAGCUGGAAACGGCUGCUAAUACCGCAUAAGCGCACGAGGAGACAUCUCCUUGUGUGAAAAACUCCGGUGGUACAGGAUGGGCCCGCGUCUGAUUAGCUGGUUGGCAGGGUAACGGCCUACCAAGGCAACGAUCAGUAGCCGGUCUGAGAGGAUGAACGGCCACAUUGGAACUGAGACACGGUCCAAACUCCUACGGGAGGCAGCAAUGGGGAAUAUUGCACAAUGGGGGAAACCCUGAUGCAGCAACGCCGCGUGAGUGAAGAAGUAUUUCGGUAUGUAAAGCUCUAUCAGCAGGGAAGAUAAUGACGGUACCUGACUAAGAAGCUCCGGCUAAAUACGUG
rnacentral:rRNA from 1 species